UACGUAGGGCGCAAGCGUUGUCCGGAAUUAUUGGGCGUAAAGGGCUCGUAGGCGGUCUGUUGCGUCGGGAGUGAAAACUCAGGGCUUAACCCUGAGCCUGCUUCCGAUACGGGCAGACUAGAGGUAUGCAGGGGAGAACGGAAUUCCUGGUGUAGCGGUGAAAUGCGCAGAUAUCAGGAGGAACACCGGUGGCGAAGGCGGUUCUCUGGGCAUUACCUGACGCUGAGGAGCGAAAGUGUGGGGAGCGAACAGG
rnacentral:rRNA from 1 species